CCCUUAGAUGUUCUGGGCCGCACGCGCGCUACACUGACGGAGUCAACGAGUUGUCCUGCAUCGGAAGGUGUGGGUAAUCUUUUGAAACUUCGUCGUGCUGGGGAUAGAUCUUUGCAAUUUUCGAUCUUGAACGAGGAAUUCCUAGUAAGCGUGAUUCAUCAGAUCGCGUUGAUUACGUCCCUGCCCUUUGUACACACCGCCCGUCGCUACUACCGAUUGAAUGGUUUAGUGAGGCCUCGGGACUGGCGCGCUCGAGUAGCAAUACACCUGCGCGCCGGGAACUUGGUCAAACUUGAUCAUUUAGAGGAAGUAAAANUCGUAACA
rnacentral:rRNA from 1 species